UACGAAGGGGGCGAGCGUUGUUCGGAUUUACUGGGCGUAAAGGGCGCGCAGGCGGCUAUCCAAGUCAGGCGUGAAAGCCCCGGGCUUAACCUGGGAGGUGCGUCUGGGACUGGGUGGCUAGAGUUCGGGAGAGGAGAGUGGAAUUCCCAGUGUAGAGGUGAAAUUCGUAGAUAUUGGGAAGAACACCGGUGGCGAAGGCGGCAUCCUGGACCAACACUGACGCUGAGGAGCGAAAGCCAGGGGAGCAAACGGG
rnacentral:rRNA from 1 species